GGGCAUGUGGUUUAGUGGUAUAAUAUCCCCUUAGCAAGGAUUCUUUCGUGGGGAAGGUCCGGAGUUCGAUUCUCCGCUUGUCCA